AGAGCAAAGAGAACACAGUGUCAGGAUGGCAUUUCAUAAUGAUAAGGAAAAAGCAAUUUGCUCAUCUAGGCUAAAAUGAUAGAAGAGAGGAAAUUCCUUGGUGCACUAAGAAUUCACCUCUAAGAAUGCUCAGGAUCUCCUUCUGGGGAACUCUAUUUAAGACAGGUGGAUGAAGAUAAGGAGCACACCAAGCAACAUAUAUUUCUGACAGCAUUACCCCAAGGAAUGGAAGGAACAAAGCUUCAGUGAUGCUGGGCUGCACUCCCGCACAACCUCUAAUUAACCUGGAAACUUGUGCUGUCUGCAUCAAAGGGCAGAGACUCUAAAGCGUAGAAAUCCAUAUCCAGCACCAUUCAACAGGGCUGCCGGGAUGACAAGCAUGACUCUUGUAAAUUCUGCUUGACACGUGGUGAUGAAGGAAGGUUUCAGAGACAAGAGGGGGACUAUACUGGCGUGUUGGAAUCAGAACAGACGCCGGGCACCUUUGAAUGUGCCACCAGGAGAACAAUCAUCUGCCUCUGGGGCUCUUCCUCGGCCUGAAGCUGGUAAUCGGUCCUGACAGUGAUUUCCUUAGGGGACUGGUCAGUCAGGCUGCCCAGCCGGCAAAUACUGAUAUGCAGUGUCUCCAUUUUAACUGACAGUUUGGUUUGUUUUUACUAUUCACAUGGCAGUAAGAUUCUUGCAUACUGAAAUAGUCCUGGAAGGGUGGGAUAGGCUGCCUGAAUGAAGUACAAACGUUUGCUCCUGAUCAAUCCAUCUUCCUCACUGCGGCCCAGCCACUGAACGUGCUAUUGCUCCCUGAAGAAUCCCUCAGUGUCCUGUGCUCAUGCCCGGCUCCUGGCUCUACUAAAUAUACAUCUCCGUCUUUUAUAACUGCGAUGGGGUCCAGAACAUGCUACUCCCAAAUAUGGAAACUUGGCAUACUGAAUAUUAAAAGCUGAAGGAAUUUGAGAAAUGGCAGAAGCAGGAAGGUCACUCUCACCCUCAUCCUUCUCCUCUGAAACAGGCCACAAAACCUAGGGAGGAUUUUCCGACCUUCCCCUGAAGCAGGUCAUAAGGCCCUCACUCAAGAGGUGUCCUGCCUCUACUGGAGGACGGGAACACACUUAUCUCUGAAGACAUGAGGUCGCUGAAGAGAAUGGCCUUAAGUUCCCUCCAGUUCAUUCCCAUUAGAGCGCACCCCCUUGUCUGGUUAUAUUUCUCCACUACUGUCCAUUCUUCAUCAAACU